GAAAUAAAAAGAUUGGUGGCAUUAAAAAAAAAUCAAUCUGUCAAGAAGUUAAAAAGUACCUACAUGUUCAGGCAAUGGAGCCAAGAUACAGCAGUUCAAUGAAGUUGUUGAGAGAAAGAACAAAUCCAGCACAGAGAUGACAAUGGAACUUACGAUGGAUUCAGACUUUAGACUUCAGAAUGUAAGCCACAUGUUUGAGCGUGGUAAACAAAAUUCAAGAAGGAAAUUGGAAGUAUCAAUAUGGAUAUCAUAUUUAGAAAUUUAGAGUGGUCUUCAUGCCGUAAUCUCAAGGUUUGUAUGAACAUGCAAUGA